rnacentral:rRNA from 1 species
GGAAUCUUCGGCAAUGGACGGAAGUCUGACCGAGCAACGCCGCGUGAGUGAAGAAGGUUUUCGGAUCGUAAAGCUCUGUUGUUAGAGAAGAAUGAUGGUGGGAGUGGAAAAUCCACCAUGUGACGGUAACUAACCAGAAAGGGACGGCUAACUACGUGCCAGCAGCCGCGGUAAUACGUAGGUCCCGAGCGUUGUCCGGAUUUAUUGGGCGUAAAGCGAGCGCAGGCGGUUCUUUAAGUCUGAAGUUAAAGGCAGUGGCUCAACCAUUGUACGCUUUGGAAACUGGAGAACUUGAGUGCAGAAGGGGAGAGUGGAAUUCCAUGUGUAGCGGUGAAAUGCGUAGAUAUAUGGAGGAACACCGGUGGCGAAAGCGGCUCUCUGGUCUGUAACUGACGCUGAGGCUCGAAAGCGUGGGGAGCAAACAGGAUUAGAUACCCUUG